rnacentral:rRNA from 1 species
GACGAACGCUGGCGGCGUGCUUAACACAUGCAAGUCGAACGGUGAAGGUGGAGCUUGCUCCGCCGGAUCAGUGGCGAACGGGUGAGUAACACGUGGGCAACCUGCCCCUCACUUCGGGAUAACUCCGGGAGACCGGGGCUAAUACCGAAUACGACCUCCUUGGGCAUCCCGGGAGGUGGAAAGCUUUUCGGUGAGGGAUGGGCCCGGGGCCUAUCAGCUUGGUGGUGAGGUAACGGCGCACCAAGGCGACGACGGGUAGCCGGCCUGAGAGGGCAGCCGGCCACACUGGGACUGAGACACGGCCCAGACUCCUACGGGAGGCAGCAGUGGGGAAUAUUGCGCAAGGGGCGAAAGCCUGACGCAGCAACGCCGCGUGCGGGAUGAAGGCCUUCGGGUUGUAAACCGCUUUCAGCAGGGAAGAAGCCGCAAGGUGACGGUACCUGCAGAAGAAGCACCGGCUAACUACGUGCCAGCCGCCGCCGUAA